UCUCCGUAGGUGAACCUGCGGAAGGAUCAUUACAAAUAACCCCGGUCUUACCACCGGGAUGUUCAUAACCCUUUUUUGUCCCACUCUGUUGCUUCCUGUGCAACCCUGUCUUCGGGCGGGGGCUCAGGGUGGCCACUUCAAACUCUUGCGUAACUUUGCAGUCUGAGUAAACUUAAUAAAUAAAUUAAAACUUUCAACGACGGAUCUCUUGGUUCUG
rnacentral:misc_RNA from 1 species